rnacentral:misc_RNA from 1 species
AACCUUAUGGACCUGCGGGCGUAUACCUGCGGAAGGAUCAUUACAUUCAGUAGCCUAGCUACUUGUUUACACCCUUGUUUUUUUGCGCACUUCAUUGUAUCCCUCGGCGGGCUUGCUCGCCGGUUGGACAACAUUUAUAACCUUUUUUAAUCUUCAAUCAGCGUCUGAAUUAUAUUUAAUAAUUACAACUUUUAACAAUGGAUCU